ACACGAAUUAAAAGUGAAACCGCAAAAGGCUCAUUAUAUCAGUUAUGGUUCAUUAGAUCGUUAACAGUUACUUGGAUAACUGUGGUAAUUCUAGAGCUAAUACAUGCAAUAUAAACACGGACCUUUUGGAACGUGUGCUUUUAUUAGGCUAAAACCAAGCGAUUUUUUCGGAAAUCGUUAUUAUGGUUGAACUCUAGAUAAUUUGCCGAUCGUAUGGUCUUGUACCGACGACAGAUCUUUCAAAUGUCUGCCCUAUCAACUAUUGAUGGUAGUAUCUAGGACUACCAUGGUUGCAACGGGUAACGGGGAAUCAGGGUUCGAUUCCGGAGAGGGAGCCUGAGAAACGGCUACCACAUCUAAGGAAGGCA
rnacentral:rRNA from 1 species